CCUACGGGUGGCAGCAGUGAGGAAUAUUGGUCAAUGGCCGCGAGGCUGAACCAGCCAAGUCGCGUGAGGGAAGAAUGUCCUAUGGAUUGUAAACCUCUUUUGUCAGGGAGCAAAGUCACCCACGUGUGGGUGUUGGAGAGUACCUGAAGAAAAAGCAUCGGCUAACUCCGUGCCAGCAGCCGCGGUAAUACGGAGGAUGCGAGCGUUAUCCGGAAUCAUUGGGCGUAAAGCGUUCGUAGGCGGCAAGGUAAGUCUGAUGUUAAAGCCCGGGGCUCAACUCCGGUUCGGCAUUGGAUACUAUCUAGCUAGAAUGUGGUAGAGGUAAAGGGAAUUCCUGGUGUAGCGGUGAAAUGCGUAGAUAUCAGGAGGAACAUCGGUGGCGAAAGCGCUUUACUGGACCAUUAUUGACGCUGAGGAACGAAAGCCAGGGGAGCAAAUGGGAUUAGAUACCCCUGUAGUC
rnacentral:rRNA from 1 species